UACGGAGGGUGCAAGCGUUAUCCGGAUUUACUGGGUUUAAAGGGUGCGUAGGUGGGUCUGUAAGUCAGUGGUGAAAUCUCCGAGCUUAACUCGGAAACUGCCAUUGAUACUAUAGGUCUUGAAUUAUCUGGAGGUAAGCGGAAUAUGUCAUGUAGCGGUGAAAUGCUUAGAUAUGACAUAGAACACCAAUUGCGAAGGCAGCUUACUACGGAUCGAUUGACACUGAGGCACGAAAAGCGUGGGGGAUCAAAACAGG
rnacentral:rRNA from 1 species